rnacentral:rRNA from 1 species
CAUCCAGACUCCUACGGGAGGCAGCAGUGAGGAAUAUUGGUCAAUGGGCUUACGCCUGAACCAGCCAAGUCGCGUGAGGGAAGACUGCCCUAUGGGUUGUAAACCUCUUUUGUCAGGGAGCAAUUGGCGCUACGUGUAGCGUUAUCGAGAGUACCUGAAGAAAAAGCAUCGGCUAACUCCGUGCCAGCAGCCGCGGUAAUACGGAGGAUGCGAGCGUUAUCCGGAUUUAUUGGGUUUAAAGGGUGCGUAGGCGGGCUGCCAGGUCAGCGGUAAAUUUGCGGGGCUCAACCCCGUCGAGCCGUUGAAACUGGCGGUCUUGAGUGGGCGAGAAGUAUGCGGAAUGCGUGGUGUAGCGGUGAAAUGCAUAGAUAUCACGCAGAACUCCGAUUGCGAAGGCAGCAUACCGGCGCCCGACUGACGCUGAAGCACGAAAGCGUGGGUAUCGAACAGGAUUAGAUACCCCAGUA